AUGGAUCAAUACGAGGUGCUGGAGCAGAUUGGGAAGGGCUCCUUUGGCUCUGCGCUCCUGGUGAGGCACAAUGUUGAGAGGAAGAGGUAUGUCUUGAAGAAGACCCAGGUCGCCCGUCAGACCGUCAGGUGCCGGCGAUCCGCGCACCAAGAGAUGGAGCUCAUCGCAAAAGUAAGGAGCCCUUACAUCAUGGAAUACAAAGAUUCUUGGGUGGAGAAGGGGUGCUAUGUGUGCAUCGUGAUCGGUUACUGCGAGGGAGGGGACAUGCCAUUAAGAAGGCUAAGGGCAACCAUUUCUCGGAGAAACUCUGUGUGUGGCUUGUGCAGCUCCUGA
rnacentral:rRNA from 1 species